CCUGUGGUAGCUGCCCUGGUGGUGAUGUGUGUGAGGAAAUGGAGUCACUUCUGUGAAGGGCGGUGGGGUGCCCGGGAGGGGAAAGGCGCUCAUUUCUUCAGAUAAAGCAAAGUCAAAGUCGGACCGUAAACCGGCGUGUUUCUGCAAUUAUUAGUGCGAAUUGGACAGGAGCUGUGCUCAGCUCCGAUUACCACUGCUGAAGGAAGGGUCCAGCAUGAAGUUCGUGAUGGACAACUCCAAUGGAGACCACACAAAACAGCUACUGGCAUGUCACCUACUUACAUUCCCAUCCCACUUUGCUGAGGGAGAAAACCAAACAGCUCAGAAGACUCCAGUAAGAAAUGAAAAUUUCAGCUGAAUGCUUACAGUUUAGUUGAUGUGAUAGUCAGUUUUCUACAUGGUGAUGAGUCUGGUGAAGAAAGAAAUCAAGGCCAGUAACUGAUGUCGCCCAGGCUCCUGUGUUGUGACUUCAAAUUCAUAAUGAUGAACAGCUGAAAUGGUGUACUGUUACAUAGCUUUUCCCCUAAUGUAAGAAGUACCCUUAGGGUUCAAGCUGAUGCAGCGUAGUGAAGGAUGUGCUAACAGAUACUGUAUUGUAGAAUUUUAUGUUUAUAAAAUAAAUUGCUAUAGACCUAUUGUUAUAUCUACUGAAGUGAAUGGUUCAUUUGAAUACAGAUGCUCAGCGGCACAUGAUUCCUCAUUUGUAACACACUAACUGACAGUUCAAUGUUACGUGAAGUGUUCCAGCACUGCAGAAGAUUCCCUUAUUCUGAUGACUUCAUUCUCUGGAGAGAACUCAAGCUGCAGGAUCAAUCUUCCUGCACAAGUCCUGUGAAGUGUUGCCAUUUACAACCCUCAGGUUAGAUCUAUCCACUCUGUUCAAAAUGCCUGAUGAAGACCCCUGCAUGUUGACAUCCCAGGUGUACUCCAGCUAUGCCAGGACAUCUGCUGUGAUUUAACCCUGGACAGCAACUCAUCCCCACACAGCGGCUUGCCCUUUCCCCACCAGUGGGAUGGGGGAGAGAAUCAGAAGAGUAAAAGUGAGAAGACUCGUGAAUUGAGGUAAAGACUGUUUAAUAGGUAAAGCAAAAGCUGCACACGCAAGAAGAUCAAAACAAGGAAUUUGUUCUCUUAAGUUUGAUCUGCUUCCAUCAACAAAGUAUUAUGGGUGACAGCCUUGUAUGGAAUAGUAAUUUUUAUCUAAUUCUUUAAUUUCACUAUUUUGAUUAAAAAAUUGAUCCUUG